AGUGAACGCUGGCGGCGUGCUUAACACAUGCAAGUCGGGCGGAGAGAGGUAGCUUGCUACUGAUCUUAGCGGCGGACGGGUGAGUAAUGCUUAGGAAUCUGCCUAUUAGUGGGGGACAACAUUUCGAAAGGAAUGCUAAUACCGCAUACGUCCUACGGGAGAAAGCAGGGGAUCUUCGGACCUUGCGCUAAUAGAUGAGCCUAAGUCGGAUUAGCUAGUUGGUGGGGUAAAGGCCUACCAAGGCGACGAUCUGUAGCGGGUCUGAGAGGAUGAUCCGCCACACUGGGACUGAGACACGGCCCAGACUCCUACGGGAGGCAGCAGUGGGGAAUAUUGGACAAUGGGCGGAAGCCUGAUCCAGCCAUGCCGCGUGUGUGAAGAAGGCCUUAUGGUUGUAAAGCACUUUAAGCGAGGAGGAGGCUACUUUAGUUAAUACCUAGAGAUAGUGGACGUUACUCGCAGAAUAAGCACCGGCUAACUCUGUGCCAGCAGCCGCCGUAA
rnacentral:rRNA from 1 species